AUACUUACCUGCAGGGGAGAUACCUGAUCAAAAGGUGGUUCACCCAGCAGCUAACCAUUGCACUCGGUUAUGCUGACCUCUGCGAAUUCCCCAAAUGUGGGAAUCUCGAACUGCAUAAUUUGUGGUAGUGGGGGACUGCGUUCGCGCUCUCCCUGA